AUUGAACGCUGGCGGCAGGCCUAACACAUGCAAGUCGAGCGAGCGGCGGACGGGUGAGGAAUGUCUGGGAAACUGCCUGAGGGAGGGGGAUAACUACUGGAAACGGUAGCUAAUAACGCAUACCAUCAGAUGUGCCCAGAUGGGAUUAGAUAGUAGGUGGGGUAACGGCUCACCUAGGCGACGAUCCCUAGAUGGUCUGAGAGGAUGGCCAGCCACACUGGAACUGAGACACGGUCCAGACUCCUACGGGAGGCAGCAGGGGGGAAUAGUGCACAAUGGGCGCAAGCCUGAUGCAGCCAUGCCGCGUGUGUGAAGAAGGCCUUCGGUUUGUAAGGCACUUUCAGCGGGGAGGCGUUACCCGCAGAAGAAGCACCGGCUAACUCCGUGCCAGCAGCCGCGGUAAUUC
rnacentral:rRNA from 1 species